rnacentral:rRNA from 1 species
AGUGAACGCUGGCGGUAUGCCUAACACAUGCAAGUCGAACGGCAGCACAGUAAGAGCUUGCUCUUACGGGUGGCGAGUGGCGGACGGGUGAGGAAUACAUCGGAAUCUACUUUUUCGUGGGGGAUAACGUAGGGAAACUUACGCUAAUACCGCAUACGACCUACGGGUGAAAGCAGGGGAUCUUCGGACCUUUCGCGAUUGAAUGAGCCGAUGUCGGAUUAGCUAGUUGGCGGGGUAAAGGCCCACCAAGGCGACGAUCCGUAGCUGGUCUGAGAGGAUGAUCAGCCACACUGGAACUGAGACACGGUCCAGACUCCUACGGGAGGCAGCAGUGGGGAAUAUUGGACAAUGGGCGCAAGCCUGAUCCAGCCAUGCCGCGUGGGUGAAGAAGGCCUUCGGGUUGUAAAGCCCUUUUGUUGGGGAAGAAAAGCAGCGGGUUAAUACCCCGCUGUUCUGACGGUACCCAAAGAAUAAGCACCGGCUAACUUCGUG